rnacentral:sRNA from 1 species
CCAAAUCCGGGAAAUCCUAAAAACCCUGCCUCUCUCUCUCUCCUCCCCAGCUAUUGGUUGUUGGCAUCUUUAUUUACCAAUCAGAACGAACUGGGGGCAGGUUUCCAGAGGCUCGGGGCAGGCACUCUUGUGUAAGCAGCUACACCCUCCAAGGUCAGCCUUUAGGAUAACAUUACCCACCAGGUAAGAAACGUGAAGAGCUUGCCGCAGGGUCUGGCUCCUCCGUAGUAGCGGGAACAUCAGCUACAGAGAGACCCGGACCAGCCCCAAAACCGAAUACCUUCCUUUGAAGCUAGUGGAUCUCUACGUGCAGAAGGCCGGGGGUCAAGGCCUGGGUUUUUUAGACCUCACGGUCAGGACUCUGCAACCUGGAGCCCCAGUUAAACCUGGCUGACCAGCAAGCCCCUGGAGCCCGCCUGUCUCUGCCACACCCCAGGACUGAGGUUACAGAUGCAUUCUGCCCUGUCCAGCUUCUUAUGGUGGUUGUAUGGCUUGGGCAAGUCCUCAUGCUUGAACAACAUGCAGUUUACUGUAAGGCAUCUUGCAAGGCCCAGCUUCAGUAAGGAAGGAUUAUACAAGUGGCUUUAAACGUCUGGGGGCUCACUGCACAUACUCUAAUUGAUUCAAAAGACUUCAAGAGUCUCUCAUUAUAUUUUCUUGUCUUUUCAUUGUGGCUGAUGGCACUGCCCUGGUGCUGUAAUGUCACCAGCCUGCAUGGACUGUGUCCAUUGCUGGACAAGUUUAUUUCAUAAUAAGAAAAUACAUAAAAUCAAGGAAGGGUUAUCCUUAACAAUGAUAAAGUCAAAUAUUAUCAAGGAAAAGGGCACUACCAAGAAUAGGCAUUUUAAUACUUUUUUUUUCACUAUUAAGCCCAGGCUUUUGAGGUAUUAACCAUGCCAGUCAGUUUCUCAAGGCUAAGAUUAAUAAAAGGUUUAAUCACA